AGUGAACGCUGGCGGCAGGCCUAACACAUGCAAGUCGAGCGGCAGCGGGUUCCCGCGAGGGGAUGCCGGCGAGCGGCGGACGGGUGAGGAACACAUCGGAAUCUGCCUGGUUGUGGGGGAUAACGUAGGGAAACUUACGCUAAUACCGCAUGCGACCCUGAGUCGACGGACUGGGGGUGAAAGUGAGGGACCUUCGGGCCUCACGCGACCAGAUGAGCCGAUGUCGGAUUAGCUAGUUGGCGGGGUAACGGCCCGCCAAGGCGACGAUCCGUAGCUGGUCUGAGAGGAUGAUCAGCCACACUGGGACUGAGACACGGCCCAGACUCCGUACGGGAGGCAGCAGUGGGGAAUCUUGGACAAU
rnacentral:rRNA from 1 species